UGAGCAAUCUGCCCUUCUCAUCGGAAUAAGCGUUGGAAACGACGUCUAAUGCCGAAUACGACCUCCUUUCGCAUGAUCGGAGGUGGAAAGCUCCGGCGGAGAAGGAUGAGCUCGCGGCCUAUCAGCUAGUUGGUGUGGGUAAUGGCCCACCAAGGCGACGACGGGUAGCCGGCCUGAGAGGGUGACCGGCCACACUGGGACUGAGACACGGCCCAGACCUCCGUACGGGAGCAAACG
rnacentral:rRNA from 1 species